rnacentral:misc_RNA from 1 species
ACUCUGCAUCCUGUGACCAUUCCCAACAGAUGGAGCUCUCUUUGGGCAGCAUUUCAAUGAUAUAGCUGCAAAAACUCUUUCAAGUUCCCUCUUCAAAGCUGACCCUUUCCAAAAUUUCAGAAUUACUGUAAAAGCCAUAUCAUACGAGCUUGAUUCAACCAAAAGGUCAAUCACAUCAGUUGGGGCUGCCUCAAUUUUAGCAAAGGUCCAAGAGACAUUUGCCAAUGACAGCAAAUACUCAGCUGACGUUAGAAUGAACUCAUUCUCAAGUUUUUCAACAUCUAAAUAUGACCUUUGCCUCUGAGACUGAGUACCAUUACCAGGAGACUGUUCUUCCAUGGUUAUCCUAGCCUUUUUACUUGGAUAUAUAUUGGAGUAAGUUUCCUCAAGUGGAGAAUCAAUCCAAGCAUAUGCAGGAUGAACCAGCUGUAGAGCAUUGAUAGCAGCAGAAAGCCCAUUCAGCCUCUCCUGCAGAAUAAAGGAUCGUCGUUGGAGAUCUUGCGUUGCACCAUGGAUUCUUAAUUGUGCUGAAUACAAGUAAAUAUAGCUCGCUGCUCUCCGCCAAUUAUGUCUCUGCAUAGCAAAUGCAUAGAGCAACUUGAACGGGUUUGGCUUGGCUGAAACAUCUGAACGCUCAGCCUUCCAAGCAAGCUCUCGCUCCACUUUCUCAGACAAGCCAAUAAAUGGUAG